rnacentral:rRNA from 1 species
UGGGGAAUAUUGGACAAUGGGCGCAAGCCUGAUCCAGCCAUGCCGCGUGAGUGACGAAGGCCUUAGGGUUGUAAAGCUCUUUUGGCGGGGAAGAUAAUGACGGUACCCGCAGAAUAAGCUCCGGCUAACUUCGUGCCAGCAGCCGCGGUAAUACGAAGGGAGCUAGCGUUGUUCGGAAUCACUGGGCGUAAAGCGCACGUAGGUGGGCAGUUAAGUCAGGGGUGAAAGCCCGAGGCUCAACCUCGGAAUUGCCUCUGAUACUGGCUGUCUAGAGUUCGAGAGAGGUGAGUGGAAUUCCUAGUGUAGAGGUGAAAUUCGUAGAUAUAGGAAGGAACACCAGUGGCGAAGGCGACCACCUGGACUGAUACUGACACUGAGGUGCGAAAGCGUGGGGAGCAAACAGGAUUAGAUACCCCCGUAGUCCCUGAGCGGGCUGGCAAGGCGCAU